GACGAACGCUGGCGGCGUGCUUAACACAUGCAAGUCGAACGGUGAAGCGCCUUCCUUUUUGGUGGGUGUGGAUGAGUGGCGAACGGGUGAGUAACACGUGAGUAACCUGCCCCCUUCUUCUGGAUAACCGCAUGAAAGUGUGGCUAAUACGGGAUAUUCUGGGUCUGUCGCAUGAUGGGUCUGGGAAAGAUAUUGUUUCGGUGGGGGAUGGGCUCGCGGCCUAUCAGCUUGUUGGUGGGGUGAUGGCCUACCAAGGCGGUGACGGGUAGCCCGCCUGAGAGGGUGGACGGUCACACUGGGACUGAGACACGGCCCAGACUCCUACGGGAGGCAGCAGUGGGGAAUAUUGCACAAUGGGCGCAAGCCUGAUGCAGCGACGCCGCGUGAGGGAUGGAGGCCUUCGGGUUGUGAACCUCUUUCGCCAGUGAAGCAGGCCUGCCUCGUUUGUGGGUGGGUUGACGGUAGCUGGAUAAGAAGCGCCGGCUAACUACGUG
rnacentral:rRNA from 1 species